UGUUUCGGCUAGGGGGUCAUCCCGACUUACCAACCCGAUGCAAACUACGAAUACCGAAGAAUGUUAUCACGGGAGACACACGGCGGGUGCUAACGUCCGUCGUGAAGAGGGAAACAACCCAGACCGCCAGCUAAGGUCCCAAAGUCAUGGUUAAGUGGGAAACGAUGUGGGAAGGCACAGACAGCCAGGAUGUUGGCUUAGAAGCAGCCAUCAUUUAAAGAAAGCGUAAUAGCUCACUGGUCGAGUCGGCCUGCGCGGAAGAUGUAACGGGGCUAAACCAUGCACCGAAGCUGCGGCAGCGACACUAUGUGUUGUUGGGUAGGGGAGCGUUCUGUAAGCCUGCGAAGGUGACCUGUGAGGGUUGCUGGAGGUAUCAGAAGUGCGAAUGCUGACAUAAGUAACGAUAAAGCGGGUGAAAAGCCCGCUCGCCGGAAGACCAAGGGUUCCUGUCCAACGUUAAUCGGGGCAGGGUGAGUCGACCCCUAAGGCGAGGCCGAAAGGCGUAGUCGAUGGGAAACAGGUUAAUAUUCCUGUACUUGGUGUUACUGCGAAGGGGGGACGGAGAAGGCUAUGUUAGCCGGGCGACGGUUGUCCCGGUUUAAGCAUGUAGGCUGGUUAUCCAGGCAAAUCCGGAUAAUC
rnacentral:rRNA from 1 species